rnacentral:misc_RNA from 1 species
AAGUCGUAACAAGGUUUCCGUAGGUGAACCUGCGGAAGGAUCAUUAACAAAUUUUCCAACCUUAAAUGACAUUCUUUUUUUUAAAAGGAAUGUUAUACCCCACAUUUUGCGAACUUUGUUUUACUUUUCAAAUUGAAGAUGUACGGGGAUGAUGGUUUCUUUGGAAACCUCAUUUUCGUUUCUUCUUCAAUUUUUUCUUCUUUUUUUUUUAAAACCCAAAUGAAACCCCUUUUUAGACUGAAACCUCUUUUUUGUUCUUAACGGAACGAAAAAAGAAAAAAAGUAAAAUGAGAAAAACAACUCUUAACAACGGAUAUCUUGGCUCUC